CCAGUUUAAUUAUAUAAGUAGUUAGAUAAUAACUUUUUAAUUAUUCAAUAUAUAUUUAUUAUUUCAUAAUAUUUUAUAAACAUAUAAUAUAUAAAAUAAUUUAUAUAUAUAAUGUUCAUCCCGCGCAAGGCGCGGAUCUUAACCUAGUUUAUAUAUAAAGCAAAAAAAAAUAAUUAAGAUAGAUCAAGAUAUCUUAGCCACACAUAUGCUAAAUAUGCUAAAACUAUAGACUAAUUUCCGUCUCAUAGUUUUGCUAAAUGUUUCUGGCAAUAACUCAAGUAACAAUAAACGUGUAACUUACUAUUUUCAGAAAAAAGUUCCCAAGUUCCAGGAACCAUUAUUUUAGUGUAUCAGGUGGUAGAACGAACAUAAGCACAACCACUUAUCGAAUCACCAAAGAAGUAUCGUUUUCUAUUUUUUUUAGAAUAAGUUUCGUUUACUUAAUCAUCAAAAAAAGUUUCGUUUUCUUAUUACAAUUCCAACUCGCAUGUGGUGUAGUUGAUUUGCUUUGAGGUAGGAGUAUAAAUCAUUGAUAACUCAAAAAUGUUACCAAUUAUGCAUAAAAUUUAAAUUUUUAUUUUAAGUUUGAUUUAAUAUAUGUUGUAGUUGAGUUAUAAUUUUGACUUAAACCUUUUUUUAAAGUUGUUAACUCAAAGCACAAACUAACAUCAACCAAAAUUCAUGUUUUAGAAGUUUCCAAACUUACGUAUGCCAAGUUACAGUUACAUACUUUUGUAGAUUUCAUUUUGUUUGAACACUUAUAAUUUUUUUGUUAUUACGAUUAUUUCAAUAAUUUAUUUUAUUACUGAUAUUAGAAAAAAUAGUAUAUUAGUGAUUAUAAUAUUUAUAAAACAAUAUAAAUUGAAAAUUACUUUUUUCAAAUUUUAAUACUAAUUUAAAGUAUUUUGAAAAAUAUUUUUUUUUUUAAAAAAUAGCUUAAUGUUAUAUUUGUUUCCUAUAUAUAUUUUCACUAUUUAUAUGUUUAUAUAGUCAACAAAAGAAAAAAGUGAGGUUGAGACAAUCGUUCUCAUAUUUCUCUCUCAUCUCUCUGUGAGACCUCCAUUAAUGAUAUCUAGGUUUGGGGUUCUCAAGAAAAAAAAAUAUAUAUACAUAUGUGAAUGUAUAUAUUAUAUUAGUAUUUAAUUAUGGAAUUCUCAACUUUAAACGCAGUCCAAAAUGUCUAUUUUCAGAUAUUGUGGAUUGUAUCUCUAAUAACAUAAAGAAGAGCGUGAUUCUCUUCUCAUCAAGCCACGUCAGAAAAUAGGAGUACCAGUGAUCGACACGUGUCUAAACACAAAGUCAUGUCGCGUUUCAUUUAAAUCUGGUUUCAUGGGUUUUAAUUUGUUAUGGGCUUCGUAUUUGUUAAAUUUGGCGAUCCCAUCAGUUUAGGUUUCUUCUCCGACAAUCGAUGUCAACACAGAACCAGCGUUUCCCUUCUGGCGCAGCCGAUCUUUCACCUUUUUCCUGUCUGUUGCGAGAUGAAACCAGAAACCGAAUUCUAACAUAAAGCCCUCCAUCAAUCGAGCAUCCAUGAUCUAUAUUCACUGCGUCUCCUGAGACUGCAAGUCGGUGAACGUUCUACUAUAAAAGGAACGGCCGCUCUUCCUCCACCGUUCAAUAAGCCUGCUCCGUUUCUGAGAGGCCAUGAAUAUACGCCGUGGUGGAGAUCUCAUGGGAGUCGACAUGCUCCUUAUUGAUUCUCAGGCGACCAUGAUGCCGGAAACCAUCAAUGUCAACAGCUGGUGACCCACCGGCCUAACCUGAAAGCCGGUUCAGUUUAUUCCCUAACCGGGUUUGAAUGCCACUCCCGGCACACAUGUUUACUUCGACAAAGAGACAUCAGCAGGAGAGAGUUUCUUCAACAGGCUGGUUGAACAAGACACUGGAGUUACGCCAGCUACUCCAUUGCUAAGGGGCUAUGCAAAGGUGGAAGCACUGAGCAUAGCUGAGCUUUGUCACCACUCCCUCUCAGGAGAGGGACUGAAAUCAAGAUAGAUAAGUGGUGGUGCUACGUUUCUUGCUCAAAUUGUGGUAAGAAACUCCAACACAUGGCGUCAUCUCUCACAUGUGUGCCUUGCAAUAAUACUAGCGUAGUUGGUGUGCUCCGACGAAACUGGUGAAGGGUUGUUUGUUUGCUUCGAUGGGUCAUGACGAAGCUCCACAACAUGAGGGCCUAUGAGGCUGGCCAUCUUCUGUCCAUUCUCUGUGUUGACUACUUAUUCAUUCAGUCACAUUCAUCCAAUUUAGCGCAGGCUGGUGAUGGUGUCAACCCCGAGGAAACUGAGGCCCCUCCUUUUGUUAAAGACAUGGAGGGAAAGACAUACAAGUUACAGGUGAGAGUGAGCUCAUACAAUUUCACAGCGAAUCAUCAGACCUUCACCAUCUCCCACAUACUCAGCGAGGGUGCCACCUCCUGAAUUCGUUGUCAACGUAAGCCUUAUAUAGUUUCCAGUAACGUCUCUGCUUUGUAUUCAUAUGUAUAUGAUUUUCUUUGAUUUGAUUAGGGGGUUGACGAUGGAGAUAACAACCACGGUGGCAACUCAGUGCCUGUUAAGGUGGAAGCUGCUGGUAGUAGCAAUGUUGAUGGAGCUGCUGGGAAGGUGAAGAAGGCACGCAAGGCCUAGAUGAAGCCGGUUGAUGUUGAGGAUGCUGUUUUCCAGCUUUGUUUGGUUGUCUUUUUUUUUUUUUUUCUGUUUUUUGGUCUUCAUGAACAAGUUUGCGUGUUUUGAUUUUUGCUUUUCCAAACUUCUAAUUUGAGUUAUUGCUUAUCAGUUAUAAAAUCUAUUCCAUCUCAGAAAUGUUUGGCAUUAAGUUAUAUACUUUCAAAAUUAGCAACAAUAUAUAUUUAAAAUCUAUGCAGAGAAUCUGCAUGCUAAAAAGAAUUGAAGGUGCAGACGUUCUUGGAAAUGAUAAUCUGAUCAUAGCAAUCAACCCAGCCCGAAGAUCCGUUAGCUCGCACGUCUUUGUUUCUGCUUUUAUUUACAGUUUCUGCUUUUGUUGAACUAUGAUUUGUUCCCACUUCCUUUAAUUAACUAUGAACUGAUCUUGAAUUGAAUGUCCAGAAAAAAAAACUAAGUUCAUACACAGUCAGCAUUGGUUAUACUGUCAUUUCUUGCAAUGCAAGUUAAAAUCAUAACGUGGAAUACCGCAACACACGUCCUCACCGAACAGCGUGAGCCAUGCAUCACUGUCAUAAUAUAUAAACAUCAAGUUCCACAAACCAGACAUCUAAUCUCUGACCAUACUAUACAAGUUACUCCUAAGUCUCGAGACAAACAUCAAAUACACAAAUAAUAAGAACACUUAAACACACGAACAACAAAACAAAACAAAAAUAUAACAAAAAUAUAAAAUAUAACAACAUAACUCAACCAAUACUCAAAUUAUUAAAAAGUUAACAUUUUUCUCAUGUUAAUACUUCGGCAUCUCAAGAUUCUAAGAAAAAAAAGUAACUCUAAAGCAGUUUCUAAUAAUGCAAACACAAGGCUACGAGUAGUUAAAUUUUGUUCAAUGGGUGGAAUAUUAAACUAUAUCAUGUUCAUUGUUCAAUACCAAAUCUAAUAAGUAGUCAAAUGACAGCUGAAACAUUUAAGAAACUAUAAAAAGUUAUGAAAAUAAAUAAAUUUAAUGGAAACACUACUUAAUGAAAGUUGAUGUUAAUUUCAAUUUAGACAAAAAAAUAAAACGAAAAAAAGUAUUUUUAUUAAUAAAAAAUAUAAUAAAAAGAGUAAAUAAUAUUUAAAAUAAUAAAAUGUUACAAUGUAUUUAAUAAUAAAUAAAAUAAAUUAUAUGUCAGAAAUAUAAAUAUAUAUCAAAUUAAACUAAAUAAUAUAAUAUUCCGCGAAAGAAAUCUGAGCUGAGUUUAUACUAUAGGCACAAGAAUUAACUUUGGGAAGCAAAAACACGAGAGCUCAAAAUAAACCUAUAUUUAAAUUUCUUAAUAUGUUUUAAUCAAUCAUAAUUAAACUACAACCAAUAUUUUUGAAAAAUAUACAAAAUAUAUAAAUAAACCUUUAAAUCUAUGUAGUAAAGUGUAUGUUAGAAUAGCUUAUAAAACUUUUAGGCCUUCAUCACCAUUAGCAACUAUAUAUAGAAAAACAACACCAAACUUCAAUACAUUUUGUUAUGUAUAAACUGCGUAAAAAUGUAAAAGAAAUUAUAUAGAAAAUGAUUUUGAAACAAUGAAAAUAUGAAUUAAUAAUUUAGAACGGUUUUGGUUUGUACCGAGUUUUUUUUUGUAAAAAAUACUAUAGAUUGCUUUCGUGUGCUAUAGCCUAUAAGGUUACAUGGAUUUUGGUUUGGACUACAGUUUAAGAGAAACCAAAAGUAUAUUCAAAAACAAAAGUAUAAAAGUGAGAAAUAUAUAAGCAAAUAUAACCAAAAGAAUAUCACACAAAAGAAACAAAGAAAGGUAAAAAAAAAAAAAACAACGGUUAAUAUAUCAGUUACUAACAUUCUCCAAAAAACUAUAAUAACUUUGACAAAGAAUUUCUCUAAAUAAAAACUCCAUUCUCCGCUAUUUUAUAAACCCUCACAAAAGUGGUAUAAACUCGAUCUCAGUCUUUUUUGAUCGAAUCGAAUUGAUUUUUGUAUUUUAUAGUUAUAUAAAAUUUAAAACACAAUAAAAGUUACAAUUCGGGAUUAACACAACAAUAAUACUAAGAAAUUGAUUAUUUUUAAUUAUAUAAUUAAAAUUUGGUGUAAGAAACAUAAUCGUACUCACAUCCAACUUAACUUAAAAGAAAUUUACACAAAAUUAUAUUUUUUUUAUAAAAACCAAUCCAUCAAAAAAAUAAAAAUAAAGAAUUUUAGUUAGACAUAUGCGAAAAUGACAUAAAAAUGUGUUCUCAUUAUAAAAAAAACAUAACAAGAAAGAAAGAUAAUAGUUAAAAUAGUAUAAUGUCAUAAAAUAUAUUUGACAACAAAUAAAAACAAAAAUAAGCUAGAAAAAUAAACGAACAUCAAACGUUAAGUAAGAUGAAUAUAAUAUCCCUUCUCAUUGGAAAUUUUCUAAAAGACAAUAUAUAUCUUUUGUAAAUGCAAGCCUAAAAUACAAACCACAAAAUCAUACAAAAAUAAAAAUCUAAAUCACAAAUAAAGUUAGAUAUGAGUAGAAAUAAUAAGAAUAUAAUUAAAUAUAAUGGUCCAACCUAGACUAUUUGUAAGUAGAUAAAAUUUGCUUCUGUUUUAAUAGUAUUGAUAUGUAUUAUUUAUUUAAACUAACAAUAGAAUAUUCCCUACAUUUAUGGUAAUUAAUGAUUUCCAUAUUUUAUAAAUGAUAAUAAUUUUAUUUUUUAUUUAAAUUAUACUUUCAAUUUAAUUUGAAUAUCAAAAAGAAGGUACAUAUUAAAAAGAAGCUACGAAAGUAGACGACAGUUGGUGCGUUACGUUAAGGAAAUGUGUACUUAAUUAGAAUUUUAGAAAUAAACUGAAGAAAAUUGUACUAAAAACAAAAUAAAGAAAGCAAUGAGAUGAGGAAUCACACAUGGAUUCCAUUUUGUGACAUUCCACUUUUGGUGUUUUCCACUAAAAGAUUAAUCACUCACGAGAUGAGCUGAUCAAUUUUUCAGCUCACUUGUUAUUUUUAUUUUUUUAAGUGCUAGCAAGAAUCAUGAUAAUAAUAAUAAUAAUUCCAUUUUUUAGAUAUAUACACACUAUAUAAUAUAUUUAAACUAGUGACGUCUUGGACAAGUUUUAUCCUCACCCUUAUUUCAAACUUAUAAUGUUUUAUAAUCUUAAUACUUUUUUUAUUAUAUACACUAAGGGCUUUUUCCACGCUACACCCGGGGUAUUUGUAUAAGUUUUAAUUAAAUUAAAAAAAAUUACAAUAACAUUUGAAAAUAAAUUUUUAUAUAUACUACAAUCGAUUUUAAACUAUUAAAUUGGUAAAAAAUUUAAAUUCGUUUGAAUUUAUUAAUUGCCUUGUGUCUAAAAUAUUUCACAUAAUUUAACUCACAAUUUGUUAUUAAAGGAAAUCAUAUAUAUAAUGAUCAGUAAGAUGGGUCAAAGUUAACUAAACCUUGUUAUACUUUAAAAUACAUUUAUCUUAUUAAUUUAGGUUUUGUAUAAACAAUUAUAAAUUUAAAACCAAUUUAAACUUUAUUUUAACUUUUGAAUUAUUGAGUUGUAAUAACAUAUUUAACAAUUUCAUAACAGAAAAUUAAAUUGAAUAGAAAAAUUGAUCUAAACUAAAGAUAAUGUUGUUCUCCAAAUUGAUUCAUGAAAAUACAUUAUAAAUAAAGAUUAUAACAGACCAAACCAGUUUUAAGACAAUUUUUUAAAUAAACCAUCACCGAAACUUUAUAUUUAAAUCAUAUAAGCCAAUAAUGACUUUAUAAAUUAAGAUAUUCCGGCCUCGUCCCAAAGAGAUUAGUCUCUACUUUUAUGUUGGUUUCUACCUUUGGUUAUUUAUUUUAAAUUUAUAAUCUGGUGUUUUUUUAAAAUUUAUAUAUGGUGAGGAUUUAGUUUAAUAUUCACAACGUUUAAAUUACUUAUGAAGAUUGUUGUUGAAUGAAUAUAAUUUGAAGAAGUGGCCUAAGUCUAAAUCUUUAAACAACUCUCCAUGAUGUGUUUGAGUCUCCAUUUUACACUCUUUUCAUCGUAAUUGUUACCAAUGAAAUGUGUUCAAACUUUGAAUCAUCGUAAUUACUACCAAUUUUUGUGUUUAAUUUUAUACUAACUACAUGUGUUGUUUUGAGCCCAGAUAUUCAUCGUACCAUGUUACAAAAAGAACAUACGGAUUAUUUGAAAUAAUUCAUUGGAACAAAUUGACAGUGAUUAGUUUUCCAAUAUAUGGUGUAAGAUUAAAUACUUUUGACGGCGGGCAAGUUUCACACAUUGUCUUCCUAAGUUUUUUUAUGUUUUGUUUUGCUAAAAUUUGGUGCAAUUGUCUUUCUAAGUUCUUUAUGUAUCUUAACUAAUUUAUUAGUCAAAUAAUUUAUAAAAUGUUCCCAACUUGGAUUUUGAUAUAUAAACUUUAUGUGUAUAUAUGGUCUUGAAAAUGUUCAGAAACAUUUAAUCUUGCUAUCUUUUUGUGCAAAGAUCACUUUGUCCCCAAAAUAUAUUCUUCUGAGAUUCUUCCAGACAUCAGCAAUAACUCAGGAGAGAGAGAGAGAGAGAGAGAGAGAGAGAGAGAGAGAGAGAGAGAGAGAGAGAGAGAGAGAGA